CUUGGAGGUGGUUUAGCGUUCUUCUCACCAGCCUGGAGUUGUACAGCUUGCAGCAUUAUCAAGGCACUAGUAGCCACCAGAGGAGCAGGACCGGCAAUGGAGAAGAAGGCAUGUUGUAGGAAAGAUCCUGGAACAUGCAAACCCUUGCUCCGUGCCAGAGAUCUCCGCUAGACUUUGUGCCUUCUCCAGUUCCUUCUUGAGAGCCCAGCACUGCACAUCUCUGAAGUUACGUGAGCACCUAACCAUGACAAUACACACAUAUAAGGAUUUUUUCAGAAGCGCCAAUUCUUCUAAUAGGCUUUAAAUCAGUGGAAGUUAGACAUUGGAAAUGUCACUCACUGUUUAUCUGCAACUAUAAAUAUUUUCAAAUCUGUGGUUAAACCAUUUAUAUUUGUGAU
rnacentral:lncRNA from 1 species